rnacentral:lncRNA from 1 species
UGCUGAGCAGCCCAGCACCGGGCAGGAUGAGGACUCCGGUAAAUGGAGCAACACGGAGCAGAGACACGAAGGUUGGAGGAGAGCGCUCAGAUCAGCACCGCCAGCCCAUCCCCGGCCGUGCACACUGCCCACGUCCCGCAGCGUCACUCGGAAGGUUUCCUUUUUGUUCCAUGGAUCCGUUCAGUUCCCUGCUUUGUUUUUAAAGAGAAAAAAAAAAGAGAAAAUCCUGUCAUUAAUAAAUAAAUAAAUAACAAGAAUAAAAAGCCUCC